rnacentral:rRNA from 1 species
GGUUAAGCGACUAAGCGUACACGGUGGAUGCCCUGGCAGUCAGAGGCGAUGAAGGACGUGCUAAUCUGCGAUAAGCGUCGGUAAGGUGAUAUGAACCGUUAUAACCGGCGAUUUCCGAAUGGGGAAACCCAGUGUGAUUCGUCACACUAUCAUUAACUGAAUCCAUAGGUUAAUGAGGCGAACCGGGGGAACUGAAACAUCUAAGUACCCCGAGGAAAAGAAAUCAACCGAGAUUCCCCCAGUAGCGGCGAGCGAACGGGGAGCAGCCCAGAGCCUGAAUUAGUGUGUGUGUUAGUGGAAGCGUCUGGAAAGGCGCGCGAUACAGGGUGACAGCCCCGUACACAAAAAUGCACAUACUGUGAGCUCGAUGAGUAGGGCGGGACACGUGGUAUCCUGUCUGAAUAUGGGGGGACCAUCCUCCAAGGCUAAAUACUCCUGACUGACCGAUAGUGAACCAGUACCGUGAGGGAAAGGCGAAAAGAACCCCGGCGAGGGGAGUGAAAAAGAACCUGAAACCGUGUACGUACAAGCAGUGGGAGCCUCUUUAUGGGGUGACUGCGUACCUUUUGUAUAAUGGGUCAGCGACUUAUAUUCUGUAGCAAGGUUAACCGAAUAGGGGAGCCGAAGGGAAACCGAGUCUUAACUGGGCGUUAAGUUGCAGGGUAUAGACCCGAAACCCGGUGAUCUAGCCAUGGGCAGGUUGAAGGUUGGGUAACACUAACUGGAGGACCGAACCGACUAAUGUUGAAAAAUUAGCGGAUGACUUGUGGCUGGGGGUGAAAGGCCAAUCAAACCGGGAGAUAGCUGGUUCUCCCCGAAAGCUAUUUAGGUAGCGCCUCGUGAAUUCAUCUCCGGGGGUAGAGCACUGUUUCGGCAAGGGGGUCAUCCCGACUUACCAACCCGAUGCAAACUGCGAAUACCGGAGAAUGUUAUCACGGGAGACACACGGCGGGUGCUAACGUCCGUCGUGAAGAGGGAAACAACCCAGACCGCCAGCUAAGGUCCCAAAGUCAUGGUUAAGUGGGAAACGAUGUGGGAAGGCCCAGACAGCCAGGAUGUUGGCUUAGAAGCAGCCAUCAUUUAAAGAAAGCGUAAUAGCUCACUGGUCGAGUCGGCCUGCGCGGAAGAUGUAACGGGGCUAAACCAUGCACCGAAGCUGCGGCAGCGACACUGUGUGUUGUUGGGUAGGGGAGCGUUCUGUAAGCCUGUGAAGGUGUGCUGUGAGGCAUGCUGGAGGUAUCAGAAGUGCGAAUGCUGACAUAAGUAACGAUAAAGCGGGUGAAAAGCCCGCUCGCCGGAAGACCAAGGGUUCCUGUCCAACGUUAAUCGGGGCAGGGUGAGUCGACCCCUAAGGCGAGGCCGAAAGGCGUAGUCGAUGGGAAACAGGUUAAUAUUCCUGUACUUGGUGUUACUGCGAAGGGGGGACGGAGAAGGCUAUGUUGGCCGGGCGACGGUUGUCCCGGUUUAAGCGUGUAGGCUGAUUUUCCAGGCAAAUCCGGAAAAUCAAGGCUGAGGCGUGAUGACGAGGCACUACGGUGCUGAAGCAACAAAUGCCCUGCUUCCAGGAAAAGCCUCUAAGCAUCAGGUAACAUCAAAUCGUACCCCAAACCGACACAGGUGGUCAGGUAGAGAAUACCAAGGCGCUUGAGAGAACUCGGGUGAAGGAACUAGGCAAAAUGGUGCCGUAACUUCGGGAGAAGGCACGCUGAUAUGUAGGUGAAGUCCCUCGCGGAUGGAGCUGAAAUCAGUCGAAGAUACCAGCUGGCUGCAACUGUUUAUUAAAAACACAGCACUGUGCAAACACGAAAGUGGACGUAUACGGUGUGACGCCUGCCCGGUGCCGGAAGGUUAAUUGAUGGGGUUAGCGGUAACGCGAAGCUCUUGAUCGAAGCCCCGGUAAACGGCGGCCGUAACUAUAACGGUCCUAAGGUAGCGAAAUUCCUUGUCGGGUAAGUUCCGACCUGCACGAAUGGCGUAAUGAUGGCCAGGCUGUCUCCACCCGAGACUCAGUGAAAUUGAACUCGCUGUGAAGAUGCAGUGUACCCGCGGCAAGACGGAAAGACCCCGUGAACCUUUACUAUAGCUUGACACUGAACAUUGAGCCUUGAUGUGUAGGAUAGGUGGGAGGCUUUGAAGUGUGGACGCCAGUCUGCAUGGAGCCGGCCUUGAAAUACCACCCUUUAAUGUUUGAUGUUCUAACGUUGGCCCCUGAUCGGGGUUGCGGACAGUGUCUGGUGGGUAGUUUGACUGGGGCGGUCUCCUCCUAAAGAGUAACGGAGGAGCACGAAGGUUGGCUAAUCCUGGUCGGACAUCAGGAGGUUAGUGCAAUGGCAUAAGCCAGCUUGACUGCGAGCGUGACGGCGCGAGCAGGUGCGAAAGCAGGUCAUAGUGAUCCGGUGGUUCUGAAUGGAAGGGCCAUCGCUCAACGGAUAAAAGGUACUCCGGGGAUAACAGGCUGAUACCGCCCAAGAGUUCAUAUCGACGGCGGUGUUUGGCACCUCGAUGUCGGCUCAUCACAUCCUGGGGCUGAAGUAGGUCCCAAGGGUAUGGCUGUUCGCCAUUUAAAGUGGUACGCGAGCUGGGUUUAGAACGUCGUGAGACAGUUCGGUCCCUAUCUGCCGUGGGCGCUGGAGAACUGAGGGGGGCUGCUCCUAGUACGAGAGGACCGGAGUGGACGCAUCACUGGUGUUCGGGUUGUCAUGCCAAUGGCACUGCCCGGUAGCUAAAUGCGGAAGAGAUAAGUGCUGAAAGCAUCUAAGCACGAAACUUGCCCCGAGAUGAGUUCUCCCUGACUCCUUGAGAGUCCUGAAGGAACGUUGAAGACGACGACGUUGAUAGGCCGGGUGUGUAAGCGCAGCGAUGCGUUGAGCUAACCGGUACUAAUGAACCGUGAGGCUUAACCUU